UACGUAGGGUGCUAGCGUUAUCCGGAAUUAUUGGGCGUAAAGAGCUCGUAGGCGGUCUGUCGCGUCUGCUGUGAAAACCCGAGGCUCAACCUCGGGCCUGCAGUGGGUACGGGCAGACUAGAGUGCGGUAGGGGAGAUUGGAAUCCCUGGUGUAGCGGUGGAAUGCGCAGAUAUCAGGAGGAACACCGAUGGCGAAGGCAGAUCUCUGGGCCGUAACUGACGCUGAGGAGCGAAAGCGUGGGGAGCCAAAGGG
rnacentral:rRNA from 1 species